GCUCCGUACCAUUGUUUCUUCCACUUGGCAUCAUAUUUGUUCACCUUUUGUUACCCGAUUCAGUGAUCACAAUUACACAAAUUAAAAAGUAUAUAUAAAACUCUGCAACAAUACUAUAUACAGAGACUUCAAUGUCUUUGUUCCAUUACUAAAAUGUACUGCUUAUUCAUGUUUCUAAAGAUUAUCUUGAGAAUCAAAAAAGAUUUAUACUUUAUGAAGUGAUUGAUGAAAGUGCAAAAGAUCUCAGAACUUAAACAAAGGAGAUGAUUAAGAGAGUUAGUUACCUUUUUCUGGGGAGCCAUAGCUACGACGGAGAAAGUUGCUGGUGA